CACCCGCCGACGCCCGUUUCGUGGAACGUCGCGCCUUUCGCUCCGGGCAGCAAAGGCGUCCGCCGCCGCCAUUGCCGCCGCUCUCAGAUGUCGCCGCCGCAGUCACCCCCACUCCCUUAUGCCCUCCCUCUCCUGUCCCAUUGCCCGCCUCCUCCACCUACGCCGUCUGUCAAUCCCCCCCCGAGAUCACCUUCUCCUCCGCUUGGCCGCCCUCGCGAAGGAGCUCUCCGAGCAGCCCCCGCCCCCGCCUCUUCCGUCACGGCCGCGGUCGCCACACCCGUACGAAUACAACCG
rnacentral:lncRNA from 1 species